rnacentral:rRNA from 1 species
CAUACGGGUUGAAGCAUGACCGUAAGGACAUGUGGACAGUAUGGGAGUGAGAAUGUUGGCAUGAGUAGCGAGAUGUGGGUGAGAAUCCCACAGGCCGUAAACCCAAGGUUUCCAGGGGAAGGUUCGUCCGCCCUGGGUUAGUCGGGACCUAAGCUGAGGCCGAAAGGCGUAGGUGAUGGACAACAGGUUGAUAUUCCUGUACUACCGAUAACCGUUUGAGAGAAGGGAUGACACAGUAGGAUAAGCUAAGCACACUGUUGGUUAUGUGUGCCCAAGCAUUGAGGCAGUCAAAGCAGGCAAAUCCGCUUUGAUAAUGCUGGGAUGUGAUGGGGAGCGAAAUUUAGUAGCGAAGUAGCUGAUUUCACACUGUCAAGAAAAGUCUCUAUCGAGGUUAAAGGUACCCGUACCGCAAACCGACACAGGUGGGUGAGGAGAGUAUCCUAAGGCCAGCGAGAGAACUGUUGUUAAGGAACUCGGCAAAAUGACCCCGUAACUUAGGGAUAAGGGGUGCCACCAUCCGGUGGCCGCAGAGAAUAGGCCCAAGCGACUGUUUACCAAAAACAUAGGUUUCUGCUAAGUCGCAAGACGAUGUAUAGGAGCUGACGCCUGCCCGGUGCUGGAAGGUUAAGGGGAUCUGUUAGAGCAAUCGAAGCAGUGAACUUAAGCCCCAGUAAACGGCGGCCGUAACUAUAACGGUCCUAAGGUAGCGAAAUUCCUUGUCGGGUAAGUUCCGACCCGCACGAAAGGCGUAACGAUUUGGGCACUGUCUCAACAACAGACUCGGUGAAAUUGUAAUUCCGGUGAAGAUGCCGGAUACCUGCGACAGGACGGAAAGACCCCAUGGAGCUUUACUGUAGCUUGACAUUGGGUCUUGGUACUACAUGUACAGGAUAGGUGGGAGGCUUUGAAACCAGGACGCCAGUUUUGGCGGAGCCAUCCUUGGGAUACCACCCUUGUAGUACUGGGACUCUAACCAUAGGCCAUGAAUCUGGUCUUGGGACACUGUCAGGUGGGCAGUUUGACUGGGGCGGUCGCCUCCCAAAAGGUAACGGAGGCGCUCAAAGGUUCUCUCAGUACGGUCGGAAAUCGUACGUAGAGUGUAAAGGCAAAAGAGAGCUUGAUUGCAAGACAUACAGGUCGAGCAAGGAUGAAAAUCGGACUUAGUGAUCCGGUGGUUCUGCGUGGAAGGGCCAUCGCUCAACGGAUAAAAGCUACCCUGGGGAUAACAGGCUUAUCUCCCCCAAGAGUCCACAUCGACGGGGAGGUUUGGCACCUCGAUGUCGGCUCAUCACAUCCUGGGGCUGUAGUAGGUCCCAAGGGUUGGGCUGUUCGCCCAUUAAAGUGGUACGCGAGCUGGGUUCAGAACGUCGUGAGACAGUUCGGUCCCUAUCCGUCGCAGGCGUAGGAAAUUUGAGAAGACCUGUCCUUAGUACGAGAGGACCGGGAUGGACGUACCUCUGGUGUACCAGUUGUUCUGCCAAGGGCAUGGCUGGGUAGCUAUGUACGGAAUGGAUAAGCGCUGAAAGCAUCUAAGCGCGAAGCCAACUUCAAGAUAAGAUUUC